AUUGAACGCUGGCGGCAUGCUUUACACAUGCAAGUCGAACGGCAGCACGGGCUUCGGCCUGGUGGCGAGUGGCGAACGGGUGAGUAAUACAUCGGAACGUACCCAGAAGUGGGGGAUAACGUAGCGAAAGUUACGCUAAUACCGCAUACGUUCUACGGAAGAAAGUGGGGGACCGCAAGGCCUCAUGCUUUUGGAGCGGCCGAUGUCUGAUUAGCUAGUUGGUGAAGUAAAGGCUCACCAAGGCGACGAUCAGUAGCUGGUCUGAGAGGACGACCAGGCACACUGGAACUGAGACACGGUCCAGACUCCUACGGGAGGCAGCAGUGGGGAAUUUUGGACAAUGGGCGCAAGCCUGAUCCAGCAAUGCCGCGUGAGUGAAGAAGGCCUUCGGGUUGUAAAGCUCUUUUGUCAGGGAAGAAACGGUAGGAGCUAAUAUCUCUUGCUAAUGACGGUACCUGAAGAAUAAGCACCGGCUAACUACGUGCCAGCAGCCGCCGUAAAAC
rnacentral:rRNA from 1 species